CUGAAUAUUUUAAAUGGCCGCAGUAUUUUAACUGUGCAAAGGUAGCAUAAUCAUUAGUCUCUUAAUUAGAGGCUUGUAUGAAUGGUUGGAUGAAAUAUUAACUGUUUCAUAUAAAUUUUUAUUAGAAUUUUAUUUUUUAGUUAAAAAGCUAAAAUUUUAUUAAAAGACGAGAAGACCCUAUAGAUCUUGAUAAUUUUUUAUUUUUAUUUAUAAAGAUUAUUUAAAUUACUAAUAAAUUAAUUAUUUUAUUGGGGUGAUAUUAAAAUUUAGUUAACUUUUAAUAAUUAAAAACAUUAAUUAAUGAAUUAUUGAUCCAUUUUUAGUGAUUAAAAAAUUAAGUUACCUUAGGGAUAACAGCGUAAUUUUUUUGGAGAGUUCAUAUCGAUAAAAAAGAUUGCGACCUCGAUGUUGAAUUAAGAAAUAGUUUUGGGCGUAGCAGUUCAAAUUUAAAGUCUGUUCGACUUUUAGAUUCUUACAUGA
rnacentral:rRNA from 1 species